GUCGGUUAUAGAGAAAAUAUAUGUUAAUUUAACAUUUUUGUUAGCUUUGUUUUAUUGUUAAAUUUACAGCUUGUUGAAGUGUCAUUAUUUUGUAAUAAAGGAAAAUAACUUAAGUAUUAAAUGUAGGGAUGGUUUGUCAAAAUUGCGUGCGAGUGUGCAUAACAACACAUUAAAACACUUUUAGUUACAGAGAAAUUUGUUACCACCCUGUCAGUAUACACUAAAUGAUUCCCACUGAUCAAAGCAGGGCAUAUAACAUGGUUUUAGUGGGAUCUAUAAGCAGCAAUUGAAUAUAAUAUUCAUAUGUGACUUUUUAGUUUGGUCCCAUCUGCUAACAUGGAGGUGGAGCUUAUGACCUAUACUGCAGCCAGCCACCAGGGGGCGAUCUAGGUGAUUUGGCUUCACUUUUUGGAGCUGUCAUGUCGUCAAUCUUUAUUUUACAGUUUAUGGUUUUUAGGACAUCGUAUGUUCUCCUACACACUUGGAAAGGGAGGGCGAGGCGAGUGGUACUUCGGCAGUGUAUUACUGCGCCAACUCGCCGCGGUAGCUUUGAGUGGAACAGCUGAUUUGCGUAGAAAUACAUGGCCGAAGUACGCUUGAAAAAAAGAUGCAAAUUGGUGUUGCCAAAUGGAAGGACUUACAUUUUAUGAAAAUGCACAAGGAAAGGGCAACAGCGCCGAUCAUAGCAGAAGUCACAGCUGGCGCAACUAUGAUGGCUUCAUUAGGAACAUGGGAAAAAAGAGGGGAAAAAAAGGAAGAAAGAAAAACUGUUGGACCUCCUCCAUGACCUUUAUACUGCUGCUGACCUCGUUGCUAUGGCUACAAGAGAUGGUGCCAUCCACCAGGACAACAGGAGACAAGACGUCCAGAAGUAAAUCCUUCCCCGUCAGUACAAAUACAGGAGUCACAGCACCGGAUCCUGUAAAAGCAACAAUAAAAUUCAUUGAAUUAGUGACAGUGGUCAUUAAAAUUACAGAUAAUUAUUGACAUGAUUAUUGGACUUCGGUCUUUGCAUUCAGUGCUUCACAUUGUGUGUGAUUUUAAAUAUAGUCUGCAGAAAGAAGAGCCACUGAUUUGAACCCAAUGUUUUUUUAUCCACUGCAUCAUUGCACAUAGACAAAUCAUUUGAAAAUAACUCAUGAUACACAAAUCCUUUUUUUUUCUCAGGAGUUAAACUAUUGUUCAGUGAGGUAGUUUUAUAACAAGCUCUUCACAGUAUAUUUAGACAUGUUUACAGAAUGUACAGUGUGGUCUGCGAGUAUUGAUCUGUGACUGUUUGAAGAAGAGAUGUAAUUUUAAAAAAAGGAAGU